GACGAGUGGCGGACGGGUGAGUAAUGCUUGGGAACUUGCCUUUGCGAGGGGGAUAACAGUUGGAAACGACUGCUAAUACCGCAUAAUGUCUUCGGACCAAACGGGGCUUUUAGCUCCGGCGCAAAGAGAGGCCCAAGUGAGAUUAGCUAGUUGGUAAGGUAACGGCUUACCAAGGCGACGAUCUCUAGCUGUUCUGAGAGGAAGAUCAGCCACACUGGGACUGAGACACGGCCCANACUCCUACGGGAGGCAGCAGUGGGGAAUAUUGCACAAUGGGGGAAACCCUGAUGCAGCCAUGCCGCGUGUGUGAAGAAGGCCUUCGGGUUGUAAAGCACUUUCAGUUGUGAGGAAAAGUUAGUAGUUAAUACCUGCUAGCCGUGACGUUAACAACAGAAGAAGCACCGGCUAACUCCGUGCCAGCAGCCGCGGUAAUACGGAGGGUGCGAGCGUUAAUCGGAAUUACUGGGCGUAAAGCGCACGCAGGCGGUUUGUUAAGCUAGA
rnacentral:rRNA from 1 species